rnacentral:rRNA from 3 species
GGGUUGUGAGGUUAAGCGACUAAGCGUACACGGUGGAUGCCCUGGCAGUCAGAGGCGAUGAAGGGCGUGCUAAUCUGCGAUAAGCGCCGGUAAGGUGAUAUGAACCGUUAUAACCGGCGAUACCCGAAUGGGGAAACCCAGUGUGACUCGUCACACUAUCAUUAACUGAAUCCAUAGGUUAAUGAGGCGAACCGGGGGAACUGAAACAUCUAAGUACCCCGAGGAAAAGAAAUCAACCGAGAUUCCCCCAGUAGCGGCGAGCGAACGGGGAGGAGCCCAGAGCCUGAAUCAGCAUGUGUGUUAGUGGAAGCGUCUGGAAAGGCGCGCGAUACAGGGUGACAGCCCCGUACACAAAAGCGCAUGUGCUGUGAGCUCGAUGAGUAGGGCGGGACACGUGGUAUCCUGUCUGAAUAUGGGGGGACCAUCCUCCAAGGCUAAAUACUCCUGACUGACCGAUAGUGAACCAGUACCGUGAGGGAAAGGCGAAAAGAACCCCGGCGAGGGGAGUGAAAAAGAACCUGAAACCGUGUACGUACAAGCAGUGGGAGCNNGUGACUGCGUACCUUUUGUAUAAUGGGUCAGCGACUUAUAUUCUGUAGCAAGGUUAACCGAAUAGGGGAGCCGGAGGGAAACCGAGUCUUAAUUGGGCGUUAAGUUGCAGGGUAUAGACCCGAAACCCGGUGAUCUAGCCAUGGGCAGGUUGAAGGUUGGGUAACACUAACUGGAGGACCGAACCGACUAAUGUUGAAAAAUUAGCGGAUGACCUGUGGCUGGGGGUGAAAGGCCAAUCAAACCGGGAGAUAGCUGGUUCUCCCCGAAAGCUAUUUAGGUAGCGCCUCGUGAAUUCAUCUCCGGGGGUAGAGCACUGUUUCGGCUAGGGGGCCAUCCCGGCUUACCAACCCGAUGCAAACUGCGAAUACCGGAGAAUGUUAUCACGGGAGACACACGGCGGGUGCUAACGUCCGUCGUGAAGAGGGAAACAACCCAGACCGCCAGCUAAGGUCCCAAAGUCAUGGUUAAGUGGGAAACGAUGUGGGAAGGCCCAGACAGCCAGGAUGUUGGCUUAGAAGCAGCCAUCAUUUAAAGAAAGCGUAAUAGCUCACUGGUCGAGUCGGCCUGCGCGGAAGAUGUAACGGGGCUAAACCAUGCACCGAAGCUGCGGCAGCGANNGUUGGGUAGGGGAGCGUUCUGUAAGCCUGCGAAGGUGGCCUGUGAGGGUUGCUGGAGGUAUCAGAAGUGCGAAUGCUGACAUAAGUAACGAUAAAGCGGGUGAAAAGCCCGCUCGCCGGAAGACCAAGGGUUCCUGUCCAACGUUAAUCGGGGCAGGGUGAGUCGACCCCUAAGGCGAGGCCGAAAGGCGUAGUCGAUGGGAAACGGGUUAAUAUUCCCGUACUUGGUGUUACUGCGAAGGGGGGACGGAGAAGGCUAUGUUGGCCGGGCGACGGUUGUCCCGGUUUAAGCGUGUAGGUGUGUGUUCCAGGUAAAUCCGGUUCACUUUAACACUGAGGCGUGAUGACGAGGCACUACGGUGCUGAAGCAACAAAUGCCCUGCUUCCAGGAAAAGCCUCUAAGCAUCAGGUAACAUCAAAUCGUACCCCAAACCGACACAGGUGGUCAGGUAGAGAAUACCAAGGCGCUUGAGAGAACUCGGGUGAAGGAACUAGGCAAAAUGGUGCCGUAACUUCGGGAGAAGGCACGCUGACACGUAGGUGAAGUGAUUUACUCAUGGAGCUGAAGUCAGUCGAAGAUACCAGCUGGCUGCAACUGUUUAUUAAAAACACAGCACUGUGCAAACACGAAAGUGGACGUAUACGGUGUGACGCCUGCCCGGUGCCGGAAGGUUAAUUGAUGGGGUCAGCGCAAGCGAAGCUCCUGAUCGAAGCCCCGGUAAACGGCGGCCGUAACUAUAACGGUCCUAAGGUAGCGAAAUUCCUUGUCGGGUAAGUUCCGACCUGCACGAAUGGCGUAAUGAUGGCCAGGCUGUCUCCACCCGAGACUCAGUGAAAUUGAACUCGCUGUGAAGAUGCAGUGUACCCGCGGCAAGACGGAAAGACCCCGUGAACCUUUACUAUAGCUUGACACUGAACAUUGAGCCUUGAUGUGUAGGAUAGGUGGGAGGCUUUGAAGCGUGGACGCCAGUCUGCGUGGAGCCGACCUUGAAAUACCACCCUUUAAUGUUUGAUGUUCUAACGUGGACCCGUAAUCCGGGUUGCGGACAGUGUCUGGUGGGUAGUUUGACUGGGGCGGUCUCCUCCUAAAGAGUAACGGAGGAGCACGAAGGUUGGCUAAUCCUGGUCGGACAUCAGGAGGUUAGUGCAAUGGCAUAAGCCAGCUUGACUGCGAGCGUGACGGCGCGAGCAGGUGCGAAAGCAGGUCAUAGUGAUCCGGUGGUUCUGAAUGGAAGGGCCAUCGCUCAACGGAUAAAAGGUACUCCGGGGAUAACAGGCUGAUACCGCCCAAGAGUUCAUAUCGACGGCGGUGUUUGGCACCUCGAUGUCGGCUCAUCACAUCCUGGGGCUGAAGUAGGUCCCAAGGGUAUGGCUGUUCGCCAUUUAAAGUGGUACGCGAGCUGGGUUUAGAACGUCGUGAGACAGUUCGGUCCCUAUCUGCCGUGGGCGCUGGAGAACUGAGGGGGGCUGCUCCUAGUACGAGAGGACCGGAGUGGACGCAUCACUGGUGUUCGGGUUGUCAUGCCAAUGGCACUGCCCGGUAGCUAAAUGCGGAAGAGAUAAGUGCUGAAAGCAUCUAAGCACGAAACUUGCCCCGAGAUGAGUUCUCCCUGAGACUU